rnacentral:rRNA from 1 species
GUGGGGAAUAUUGGACAAUGGGGGGAACCCUGAUCCAGCCAUGCCGCGUGUGUGAAGAAGGCCUUUUGGUUGUAAAGCACUUUAAGCGAGGAGGAGGCUACCGAGAUUAAUACUCUUGGAUAGUGGACGUUACUCGCAGAAUAAGCACCGGCUAACUCUGUGCCAGCAGCCGCGGUAAUACAGAGGGUGCAAGCGUUAAUCGGAUUUACUGGGAGUAAAGCGCGCGUAGGUGGCCAAUUAAGUCAAAUGUGAAAUACCCGAGCUUAACUUGGGAAUUGCAUUCGAUACUGGUUGGCUAGAGUAUGGGAGAGGAUGGUAGAAUUCCAGGUGUAGCGGUGAAAUGCGUAGAGAUCUGGAGGAAUACCGAUGGCGAAGGCAGCCAUCUGGCCUAAUACUGACACUGAGGUGCGAAAGCAUGGGGAGCAAACAGGAUUAGAUUCCCUGGUAGUCC